CAGGAGGCCAUGGCUGUGACUAAGUACGCAGCAUCCAGGGUGAGCAAACGGCCUCACAGCUCUCCCUGCCACUGUGGGUGGUGUGUGCAAUAGCAUGCAAACACCAAGCAGGUUUAAGACUCACAGACGUGUAAAUAACAUAUAUAUCUUUUCUUCAUAGCAUAGAUUUCCUAACAUUCAAGCACCCACAUCACUGCAGCAGAGCCAUGUCUGCAAGUGCUAGCAGCAGAACCAAAAUUCAAGUCCCAUAUUCCGGCCCCAUUAGGACAGAAACUGGCCCUGUGGGCAAGGCUGUUGGUGAAGGAAGAAGGCGAGCAGCAUUUGGAAGGUGGGAUCACCUGGCAGGUGUCUCGUGAAGCAUAGUGAAAAGUCAACAGUUCUGAGUGUGGUUUGUGCACUAUGGAACAAUUGGAGCCUAUGGUGCAGACUAUUUCUCCAUUUACCACAAGAUGGCAUUGCACUGGAGGAGUGACAGGUUGGCCACUGGACACCACAGUCCCACCAGUUUGCUCAAAUUGCUUCUUCCUGGAUGCUGGAAGAUGCUGUGCCAGCACCUAUUUUCAAUGCGACCAUAGACCCAGCAGCACAGUUUCCACACUUGGAGCUUUAGGUCUGGACCAACCCAACACUGCUGCUGAUGCUGAUGGCUGAUGGAGGCCACGUGCCAUGAGAUGGUACUAAGGUCCUCGGUACCAGUGUUUCAACGGAUGACCAAAGCCAUCGUGAACCUUUCCAUCUGUGGUUGGUGCUUUUAGUGAAAGCGUAGCUAUUCCGUGUUUUCUUUGACAGAUUAAUCCUACGCCCUUUCUGUAACUAUUCCUGUAGGAUGCAAACCAAUAAAACUUCUUCUAU
rnacentral:lncRNA from 7 species